UUCGAGCGUCAUUUAGACCAAUCAAGCCUGUGCUUGGUAUUGGGGUUUGCGGUUCCGCAGCCUCUAAACGCAGUGGCGGUGCUAUUGAGCUCUGAGCGUAGUAAAUCUCCUCGCUAUAGAGUCUCGGUAGUUACUUGCCAACAACCCCCAACUUUAUCAAGGUUGACCUCGGAUCAGGUAGGGAUACCCGCUGAACUUAA
rnacentral:misc_RNA from 1 species